rnacentral:rRNA from 1 species
GAAAAUCUCAUUAAGGGUAUAUGGUGGAUGCCUUGACUCAAAAAGACGAUGAAGGACGUAGCAGCCUGCGAUAAGCCUCGGUAAGGUGGCAAGCAACCUUUGACCCGAGGAUGUCCGAAUGGGGAAACCUGUUCCGAUUAAUAUCGGAACGUCCGCCAGCUGAAUACAUAGGCUGGUGAGACGACUACCCGGUGAAUUGAAACAUCUUAGUAGCCGGAGGAAAA